rnacentral:misc_RNA from 1 species
AACGCACCUUGCGCUCUCGGGCUAUUCCUGGGAGCAUGCUUGUUUGAGUGUCGCGUACCUCUCAACCACUUUCUUAUUAAGUUAGGAAACGUCAGGGUUGGAUCAUGCUGCUUGCCGUCUUUUUAGAUGGCUGCGGUGAAAUACAACAAGCUGGAUCCUUAUCUUGCGGCUUGACCCGUUGUUGUAACUUGAAACCCAAUGGGAACGCAAUUUUGGAGGAAGGAGCUUUGCGAUAAACGAACUUAACACGUUCAACAAGUGCAUUUUGACCUCAAAUCAAGCAGGACUACCCGCUGAACUUAA